rnacentral:lncRNA from 1 species
AUCAGAAAAUUGCAGGCAAGAAAAGAAAAGAUUCUGGAAAGAGAAAAGCUCCUGUAAGUGACACUUCCUUGAAUAGUUGGUGGGAAAUCAAAAUUCCACAACAAAUCUGCUUCAACUCUACAAAUAAAAUUAAUAUAAGUGCAUAAAUAACUUGCUAUGCACAUAUCAACGUAAUCAACAAGCAACAGACUCUUAAUCACAACUGCCAUUAAGAUUUGUAGUGAAAGAUAAGAAUAGAGAGAUAAUUGCAAUCAGAAAACUUACUGAGUAGAAAUAAAUUAUAGUCGAUUUUAAAAAGAUAAUAAAAGAAAUGUUCAUCAGAAGUUUACUGUAGCAUGAGAAGCCACCAAAACAUGAGACCAAACUACAUCUUCCUCUCUUUAUCCCUUAUCACUGCUUUUCUCAAGUGUGAAACUCAAUUCCUUUUCCCUUGUUGGCUUUGUUUAUAGGAACAAAUGUAGAUCUAAACCUACCAUCAGCUUCAGAUAGUGUCUCUGAAAGAGAAAGCUCACUCAAAGACUCAGAAGUCCUUUUUAUUCCAUGCUACCAUAUCAUCACUUGUAUUUCUGUCCUAGAGUAUGUUUCCUUGCAACUUUUCGAAAUUCUUUUUCUAGUACACAACUUUCAUAUUCACUCUUUAGCUUUAUUUUUGUUUUUGGAAGAGCUUUCCUCACUCCAUAAGAAUAUCCCUGUUGCUUGUUUCUGUUUGUCUUCUUUCCACCCAAACUCCCCAGUAUUGAUACCCUAUAGGUUUUGAUACUCCUUCUUCUAUCUCUCCUCCCCAUACUCCUCUCAGAUUUAUGCUUCCAGGCCCUAGCUGAAAAAGUUAAAACAUGCUCCAAAAACAUACCCAAAGUCACCUUUCCUUUCCUUUCCUUUCCUUUCCUUUCCUUUCCUUUCCUUUCCUUUCCUUUCCUUUCCUUUCCUUUCCUUUCCUUUCCUUUCCUUUCCUUUCCUUUCCUUUCCUUUCCUUUCCUUUCCUUUCCUUUCCUUUCCUUUCCUUUCCUUUCCUUUCCUUUCCUUUCCUUUCCUUUCCUUUCCUUUCCUUUCCUUUCC